rnacentral:rRNA from 1 species
UACAGAGGGUGCAAGCGUUGUUCGGAAUCAUUGGGCGUAAAGCGCACGUAGGCGGCCGACCAAGUCAGGUGUGAAAGCCUGGGGCUCAACCCCAGAAGUGCACUUGAAACUGGUUGGCUUGAAUGUCGGAGAGGGUAGUGGAAUUCCGAGUGUAGAGGUGAAAUUCGUAGAUAUUCGGAGGAACACCAGUGGCGAAGGCGGCUCACUGGACCGGAACUGACGCUGAGGCGCGAAAGCGUGGGGAGCAAACGGG